rnacentral:rRNA from 1 species
GCAAGUCGAGAGAGAGAGUCGGGUGGAGCGGCGGACGGGUUAGUAACGCGUGGGAAUAUACCCAGUUCUAAGGAAUAGCCACUGGAAACGGUGAGUAAUACCUUAUACGCCCUUCGGGGGAAAGAUUUAUCGGAAUUGGAUUAGCCCGCGUUAGAUUAGAUAGUUGGUGGGGUAAUGGCCUACCAAGUCUACGAUCUAUAGCUGGUUUGAGAGGAUGAUC